AACGCAUAUUGCGCCCGCCAGCACUCUGGCGGGCAUGCCUGUUCGAGCGUCAUUUCAACCCUCAGGCCUCGCGUCUGGCGUUGGGGCGCUGCGGCCCUCCCGCAGGCCCCCAAAUCUAGCGGCGGAUCCGCCGCGGCCCUGAGCGCAGUAGUUUGACUCGAACGCUCCGGCGGCCGUGGCGCGGUUCUGCCUCCCGCCCCAUAGCGCCGAUGGCGCUACUCCCAAAAGUUGACCUCGGAUCAGGUAGGACUACCCGCUGAACUUAA
rnacentral:misc_RNA from 1 species